CAUGAAAAUAAAUUCUACAUUAACCCAGGUUCUGCCACUGGGGCCUACAAUGCCUUGGAAACAAAUAUCAUUCCAUCAUUUGUGCUGAUGGACAUCCAGGCUUCUACUGUGGUCACUUACGUUUAUCAGCUAAUUGGAGAUGAUGUAAAAGUAGAACGAAUUGAGUAUAAAAAGUUAUAAAGCCA